rnacentral:rRNA from 1 species
GACGAACGCUGGCGGCGUGCUUAACACAUGCAAGUCGAACGGCAAGGCCCUGCUUUUGUGCGGUGCUCGAGUGCCGAACGCGUGAGUAACACGUGUGUAACCUGCCCUUCUCUUUCGGAUAACUUCACGAAACUGGGGCUAAUACCGUAUAGGAUCUCCUGCUCCAUGGUGGGGGUUGGAUAGUUUCGGCGGUUGGGGAUGGACGCGCGGCUUAUGAGCUUGCUGGUGGGGGAGUGGCUUACCAAGGCUGUGACGGGUCGCCGGCCUGGGAGGGUGGCCGGGGACAUUAGGACUGAGAGACGGCGCAGACGGCAACGGGAGGCAGCGGUGGAGAAUAUUGCACAAUGGGCGGAAGCCUGAUGAAGAGACGCCGGGGGCGGGAUGACGGCCUGCGGGUUGUGAACCGCUUUAGCCUGUGACGAAGCGGGAGUGACGGUAAUGGGUAAAGAAGCACCGGCUAACUACGUG